AACUUACAUUAUCCUUUAAAAUACAAAAAGUCAUCAUCAAAGGGACAAUGGCUUCCCUUCACGUUCCUCUUUCUUCACUUCCCCGUCCCAGUUUCCGGCCAACAGGCAAGUUGUUAAUCCGAUGUUCCGCCGACCGGCAAGCCCUGUUUAACCGCAUUGCCCCUGUUUAUGAUAAUUUGAAUGAUCUUCUCAGUUUGGGCCAACACCGCAUAUGGAAAAGAAUGGCUGUUUCCUGGAGCGGAGCUAAAGAAGGGGACGAUGUACUAGAUAUCUGUUGUGGAAGUGGGGAUUUGACGUUCCUUCUGUCUGAAAAAGUUGGACCCCAUGUGAGCAUUCAUGGAAUAACAUCAUCUAGCAGUUCACAAGUUCUCUGGAGUAGUGUUCAGGCAGUCGGUCUUGAUUUCUCAAAUGAACAAUUAUUAAUCGCUUCGACUCGGCAGAAAUUACGUUCAAAGACAUGUUACAAGAACAUCAAGUGGAUGGAGGGCAAUGCACUUGAUUUACCUUUUCCUGACUCCUCCUUUGAUGCUGUUACUAUUGGCUAUGGGUUACGCAAUGUGGUAGAUAGACAUAGAGCUAUGACAGAGAUAUGUCGAGUUUUGAAACCAGGCUCAACAUUAUCUGUUCUUGACUUCAAUAAGAGUAUCAACCCCUUGAGCACCACAGUUCAGGAAUUGAUGAUCGACAAUAUAGUUGUUCCUGUAGCGAGUGGUUAUGGCCUAGAAAAUGAGUACAAAUACUUGAAAAGCUCUAUCAAGGACUUUCUGACAGGAAACGAGUUAGAGAAGCUGGCUCUUGAAGUAGGAUUUUCCACUGCCGAACAUUUUGAGAUAGGAUUUGGAUUUAUGGGAAAUUUGGUAGCCAUUCGAUAGAAUGACUUCAGGUGCUUCAUCCUCCACUUGCCUUCACAAACGAGAAAAGAUGCAGUAAGAGGAGGAAUGAGUGAAUGAUGAUGAUAUUGACUAGACAAGUAUGGGGAAUAAGAUUGCUGAUUGUGAAGAGGUUAAGGUAUGUGCCAGUAGGAGGGAAUUAUCAUCUUAUGGGGUUAUGUACAUAUCUUGAAAGGGAGGAGUUAUGCUAUGGCCUAUGAGUAGCAUAAGAGUGGCAGUAUGCUGCAAACUGAUACAUUUCUGAAACAACCUCUCUACUUUCCAAGGAAGGGGUAAGGUUCUACUCUCUCGACACUCCACUUAUAGGAUUAUAUUGAAUAUGUUGUUGUUGGAAUGAUAGUUUUAGGGCAAUGAAGCGACUAACUUUCCUAAAAGUGCUUUAGAAUCACAAACUGUAGUGAUUGCGAAACUACUAUUUACUACUUCUACUUCGAAAUAUGUGGCUACUAAAUAGAGUUUCUUAAACAGGGUAAAA